AUUGAACGCUGGCGGCAGGCCUAACACAUGCAAGUCGAGCGGAUGAAGGGAGCUUGCUCCUGGCUUCAGCGGCGGACGGGUGAGUAAUGCCUAGGAAUCUGCCUGGUAGUGGGGGAUAACGUCCGGAAAUGGGCGCUAAUACCGCAUACGUCCUGAGGGAGAAAGUGGGGGAUCAUUGGACCUCACGCUAUCAGAUGAGCCUAGGUCGGAUUAGCUAGUAGUUGGGGUAAAGGCCUACCAAGGCGACGAUCCGUAACUGGUCUGAGAGGAUGAGCAGUCAGCCUGGAACUGAGACACGGUCCACACUUCUACAGUAGGCAGCAGUGGAGAAUACUGCACGAGGGAGGAAAGGCUAAUCCAGCACUGUCGCGUGUGUGAAGAAGGUCUUCGGAUUGUAGAGCACAUUAAGUUGGGAGGAAGGGCAGUAAGUUAAUACCUUGCUGUUUUGACGUUACCAAAAGAAUAAGCACCGGCUAACUUCGUG
rnacentral:rRNA from 1 species